AGUGCUGCCAGGACACUGUGGGACGAGGGAACAGCUGCCAGUCGACCAUGGAUAUGAAUGGGCAGGAAGAGGAGUACAGGGAUCUAAUGAUGGCCUUCAGUGAAUGGAGUAACAAGAACUGCGUCCUUCUGAACACAUCCAAGACGGAAGAGAUGGUUAUCUAUCUAUCUAUCUAUCUAUCUAUCUAUCUAUCUAUCUAUCUAUCUAUCUAUCUAUCUAUCUAUCUAUCUAUCUAUCUAUCUAUCUAUCUAUCUAUCUAUCUGUCUAUUUGUCUAUCUGUCUAUUUGUCUAUCUGUCUAUCCAAGUGAGGCAUAGAAAGUUAUAAAAAUGUUAUUAUAUACAUUUAGGCAUAAAAACAUCAGGGCAAAAGAAGGACUAAAAUAACGUCAUGGUAUAGUAAGACAUAGAAGAGUGUAAGGUAUUAAUUGUUUUACAUGCAUAUAACUUUGACUUUAGAAUAUAAUAUUUGUCUGACUGUAUAUAUAUGUGAAGGACACUGAGAAAUUUAGGACAUUUCUGGAGUUCCUAGUUAGAUUGAUGAAUGUUUGUGUUUGCUGGUAUGGUUGGAAUCCGACGAAUGGAGAAUGAUCUCAGGAACUCUGAAGAAGGAUGAGCAAAAACUACGAGGCCCCAAGGAUGUGAACUUCUCCUGAUCAACAUCAGCUUGUCAUGCACAUCAGAGAGAAAAAGAGUAAACAAGCAGUCAAAUUUUUGUUACUUUUGUUACCUUGGUGUACCUUGUACAAGACCUGUCUUUCCUGUGCAAAUAAAACCAGCCACAUUGAA